rnacentral:rRNA from 1 species
UGUGAACUCGAAGAGUAGGGCGGGACACGUGGUAUCCUGUCUGAAUAUGGGGGGACCAUCCUCCAAGGCUAAAUACUCCUGACUGACCGAUAGUGAACCAGUACCGUGAGGGAAAGGCGAAAAGAACCCCGGCGAGGGGAGUGAAAAAGAACCUGAAACCGUGUACGUACAAGCAGUAGGAGCCUCUUUAUGGGGUGACUGCGUACCUUUUGUAUAAUGGGUCAGCGACUUAUAUUCUGUAGCAAGGUUAACCGUAUAGGGGAGCCGCAGGGAAACCGAGUCUUAACUGGGCGUUAAGUUGCAGGGUAUAGACCCGAAACCCGGUGAUCUAGCCAUGGGCAGGUUGAAGGUUGGGUAACACUAACUGGAGGACCGAACCGACUAAUGUUGAAAAAUUAGCGGAUGACUUGUGGCUGGGGGUGAAAGGCCAAUCAAACCGGGAGAUAGCUGGUUCUCCCCGAAAGCUAUUUAGGUAGCGCCUCGUGAAUUCAUCUUCGGGGGUAGAGCACUGUUUCGGCUAGGGGGUCAUCCCGACUUACCAACCCGAUGCAAACUACGAAUACCGAAGAAUGUUAUCACGGGAGACACACGGCGGGUGCUAACGUCCGUCGUGAAGAGGGAAACAACCCAGACCGCCAGCUAAGGUCCCAAAGUCAUGGUUAAGUGGGAAACGAUGUGGGAAGGCCCAGACAGCCAGGAUGUUGGCUUAGAAGCAGCCAUCAUUUAAAGAAAGCGUAAUAGCUCACUGGUCGAGUCGGCCUGCGCGGAAGAUGUAACGGGGCUAAACCAUGCACCGAAGCUGCGGCAGCGACACUAUGUGUUGUUGGGUAGGGGAGCGUUCUGUAAGCCGUUGAAGGUGGCCUGUGAGGGUUGCUGGAGGUAUCAGAAGUGCGAAUGCUGACAUAAGUAACGAUAAUGCGGGUGAAAAACCCGCACGCCGGAAGACCAAGGGUUCCUGUCCAACGUUAAUCGGGGCAGGGUGAGUCGACCCCUAAGGCGAGGCCGAAAGGCGUAGUCGAUGGGAAACAGGUUAAUAUUCCUGUACUCGGUGUUACUGCGAAGGGGGGACGGAGAAGGCUAUGUUGGCCGGGCGACGGUUGUCCCGGUUUAAGCAUGUAGGCGGAUGUUCCAGGUAAAUCCGGAACGUUAUUAACGCUGAGGUGUGAUGACGAGGCACUACGGUGCUGAAGUGACAAAUGCCCUGCUUCCAGGAAAAGCCUCUAAGCAUCAGGUAACAUCAAAUCGUACCCCAAACCGACACAGGUGGUCAGGUAGAGAAUACCAAGGCGCUUGAGAGAACUCGGGUGAAGGAACUAGGCAAAAUGGUGCCGUAACUUCGGGAGAAGGCACGCUGAUAUGUAGGUGAAGUGGUUUACCCAUGGAGCUGAAAUCAGUCGAAGAUACCAGCUGGCUGCAACUGUUUAUUAAAAACACAGCACUGUGCAAACACGAAAGUGGACGUAUACGGUGUGACGCCUGCCCGGUGCCGGAAGGUUAAUUGAUGGGGUUAUCCGUAAGGAGAAGCUCUUGAUCGAAGCCCCGGUAAACGGCGGCCGUAACUAUAACGGUCCUAAGGUAGCGAAAUUCCUUGUCGGGUAAGUUCCGACCUGCACGAAUGGCGUAAUGAUGGCCAGGCUGUCUCCACCCGAGACUCAGUGAAAUUGAACUCGCUGUGAAGAUGCAGUGUACCCGCGGCAAGACGGAAAGACCCCGUGAACCUUUACUAUAGCUUGACACUGAACACUGGUCCUUGAUGUGUAGGAUAGGUGGGAGGCUUUGAAG